GUCAACUACCCACCGAGCCCGUUAGGCUCGGUGGUCCUGCGAAAGCAGGACCAGGUUGAUUAGCUUCAGCCACCAAUCUUCGGAUUGACGGGGCUACGUUUGGAGCGAAUGAUAUAGGCACUACGGGAUGAGCCAAGUCCCGUACUCUGCG
rnacentral:sRNA from 20 species